rnacentral:rRNA from 1 species
GAGCUGCGAAGGCAUCUUCAGCAGCUGGAAAGAAUUUCGGUCAAGGAUGAGCUCGCGGCCUAUCAGCUUGUUGGUGAGGUAAUGGCUCACCAAGGCGUCGACGGGUAGCCGGCCUGAGAGGGUGACCGGCCACACUGGGACUGAGACACGGCCCAGACUCCUACGGGAGGCAGCAGUGGGGAAUAUUGCACAAUGGGCGCAAGCCUGAUGCAGCAACGCCGCGUGAGGGACGACGGCCUUCGGGUUGUAAACCUCUUUUAGCAGGGAAGAAGCGAAAGUGACGGUACCUGCAGAAAAAGCACCGGCUAACUACGUGCCAGCAGCCGCGGUAAUACGUAGGGUGCAAGCGUUAUCCGGAAUUAUUGGGCGUAAAGAGCUCGUAGGCGGUUUGUCGCGUCUGCUGUGAAAUCUGGGGGCUCAACCCCCAGCCUGCAGUGGGUACGGGCAGACUAGAGUGCGGUAGGGGAGAUUGGAAUUCCUGGUGUAGCGGUGGAAUGCGCAGAUAUCAGGAGGAACACCGAUGGCGAAGGCAGAUCUCUGGGCCGUAACUGACGCUGAGGAGCGAAAGGGUGGGGAGCAAACAGGCUUAGAUACCCUGGUAGUCCACCCCGUAAACGUUGGGAACUAGUUGUGGGG